rnacentral:lncRNA from 1 species
UUCUGCAGAUUUUCCCACAGAAGGGCGUAUUCAGAUUCCUAAAGAAGGCUUUGAAAGGGAUCCAAAGAAGCAAUCACAUGCAUGUGCAACUAUUUUUUCACCAGGCAAGAAUAUAUGGAAUGUGAAUGAAGCUUCAGCAUAGCUCUGCAAGUCUAUCUAGAGGGGAUCAUGGGAGGAUUCAUAUGAGGUUUACUUCUCCUUGCAGAAGAAGAAAAGAAAAAGGCCCUUACAGGUGGGAACAAAUGUAAAUGUACACUGAAAAGUAAAGGUGGAAAUGUGGAGCCAAGCACAUUUGCUGGAGAAUGGAGAACUGAAAUCCCGAUCACCCCACCAGGAAAGGUCUAUAUUCCUGUAUCCUGGCUGAGGAGGAAAUAA